rnacentral:rRNA from 1 species
GAUGAACGCUAGCGGCAGGCCUAACACAUGCAAGUCGAGGGGCAGCACAGAAACAGCAAUGUUUUGGUGGCGACCGGCGGACGGGUGCGUAACGCGUAUGCAACCUACCUUUAACAGGGGGAUAACGGAGAGAAAUUUCCACUAAUACCCCAUAACAUCGAUCAAGGCAUCUUGAUUGGUUGAAAACUCCGGUGGUUAAAGAUGGGCAUGCGUUGUAAUAGGUAGUUGGUGAGGUAAUGGCUCACCAAGCCUACGAUACGUAGGGGGACUGAGAGGUUAGCCCCCCACACUGGUACUGAGACACGGACCAGACUCCUACGGGAGGCAGCAGUGAGGAAUAUUGGUCAAUGGGGGCAACCCUGAACCAGCCAUGCCGCGUGCAGGAAGACGGCUCUAUGAGUUGUAAACUGCUUUUAAACAGGGAUAAAGCACAGUAUGUAUACUGUGUUGAAGGUACUGUAAGAAUAAGGAUCGGCUAACUCCGUGCCAGCAGCCGCAGUA